rnacentral:tRNA from 1 species
GGGCCCGUCGUCUAGCAUGGUAGGAUGCGGGGUACGACUCCCCGUGGUCCCGGGUUCAAAUCCCGGCGGGCCCA